UAAAAUUGCAAUUUAGUAAACUAAAAAGGCCGUAUUGGCAUGUGUUGCAAUGUUAAUAUUUCAUCAUUGAUAUAUAAACUAUCAGACUGCGUGGUCGGUAGUAGUGGCUUUCAGUAGGCCUUUAAUCAGUCACAAUUCCAGGUGGAAUCAUGUUCGAUUACGUAAUGAUUUUUGAGGGAGGGUUUUAUUUCUUUUAAAUUGCAGCAGUGAUUUGCUACAGGUGGACUGUGCAAUGGGCCGUGCAGCACAAAUGUCCCAGGAAGAACCCGAAAGUAGACAUAAAUGUAAUUACGUGCAAGAAUUAGGUAAUUCAGUUCGCUUAGACAAUUAGGAAACCGUUUCUCCCCGUUGGAAGGGAAGAAUAACAGAGGAGGAAGACAAAGCGCUGGGAGACACAUGGACUGGAUGAUAUUGGCACUGACUGGAGAAAUGAAAACUUCCACAUUAUUUUGAAAUGGAAGAAAGAAAGAAUGUUCCUUGCAAGAAGACAAGUAAAGAGACUCUAGACAGAGCCAACAAUCUCAGCGGCACUCGUUUUUUUUUUUUUUUUUAAAUGAAAUCUCUCUUUAAAUGUUUCCUUUUUUUGUACUUUGUUAUUCUAAUUUGCUUCUGUGGUUUGAAAGCAGAUCUCAUACUUCAACACAUACAUACUUAACGACCAAAUUCACUGUUCCUGUCGCAAUAAAGGAUGAAAUUUAACCUUGACUAUUUUUUUAUAAUCAGUUGCUGUUCUGUUGUUUUUUUUUUGCAGAAUGUAAAUGAAUAAAGUAUAUUUGAUUUUUUUUUAAGAA